rnacentral:rRNA from 1 species
UGAUAGGGACAGUUGGGGGCAUCAGUAUUCUGAAGCGAGAGGUGAAAUUCUUGGACCUUCGGAAGACUAACAGCUGCGAAAGCGUUUGCCUAGGAUGUUCUCUUUAAUCAAGAACGAAAGUUGGGGGAUCGAAGACGAUCAGAUACCGUCGUAGUCUCAACUAUAAACUAUGCCAGCUAGGGAUUGGUGGACGUUUAUUUACGACUCCAUCAGCACCUUAUGAGAAAUCAAAGCAUUUGGGUUCCGGGGGGAGUAUGGUCGCAAGGCUGAAACUUAAAGGAAUUGACGGGAGGGCACCACCAGGAGUGGAGCCUGUGGCUUAAUUUGACUCAACACGGGAAAACUUACCAGGUCCGGACAUAGUAAGGAUUGACAGAUUGAUAGCUCUUUCU